CAGGCCUUGGCAGGAGGCGCUGUGGAAGGAACACUCAGGUUCCCAGGCACAGCCAGCUCCUGCCACCCGGGAUUAAAGUGAAUGGCUUCCAAAUUAGACAAUGCAACCUCUAGGCAAACAAGACUCAGCAUCUCUCCUUCCACAAAUGCCAUGGGUGACAAAGAUGAAGAGGAUGCAUCAGACAGAAGCCAACAAUGUUUUCAGUUCUCCCAAGACUGCCAUUUCCCUCCUCGAAAGCUGCUAUCAUAAUGAUGCUACAUGAUGACUGCGUGACAUCCUGGACCAUUUGGGUAUAAAAAUGGCAAGCACUAAUCAUUGGGCACUUGGAGAAAUACCAAUAACAACACUGGUCAGACUGAAAUACUGUCUCAAUCACCUCCAAAUAUGCAGAGGUUAGCUGCCUUUGAAAAUGUUCAAAAUUGCAGGAUGGCAUUGUUGAGGUCAAGAAGGCCUGCUAAUUUAGACUGAUCUUCAUCCAUGAUAUAGUCUUCAGCAUAGACAAGCUCGUCCUCAAAGGAAAGUGAUCGGUAUACAACGCCCAGAAUCAAAAUCUCCAUCCAAGCACUCUGCAGAAGGCUCAUCUGGUCAGCAAGCGAUAAAGUGGAAAAUCCUAAACCAGGAAGGAAAGUACACAGAAACAUAAUUAAAAUGAUCCUGGGCCACCAUAAUUCUGCAUUAUAACUAUUCUUUCGUGCUUGUUGAUGUUAUGUAAGUUAUAAAUCUGUACCUGUGGAUUCCACCCGCUCUGCUCUUCAAGAUCAAUACAAUAUAAAAUUAUUAGAGUAAAAGUUUCAUCAAGUCAA